rnacentral:lncRNA from 1 species
GAGAAAAGUAGCAUAAUUAGAGUAGGUAGUUGGAAGUGACCUGAAUGCCCACAGCAGUCCUUUCUCUUGAAUCAGGGCCAGCAAUGGUGUCACCCAGACGCUGUUGACUAACUAACGUACAACAGAUUUACUUAACCACUGGCAAACCACAUUUCCUUUUCCAGGGCAAUAACUUAAAAGAUUAUUUAUCUCCCUUUGUUGCAAAGAGAGGAAAUACUUCUUCCUGGACUCAGGGCAGCUGUGACCCGUCCUCCCAGAGAAAUCAUUAAACCACAAGGAUUCAGACAGAGCCGAGAGCCCUGAAAACUUUGGCCACGCGCUUCCUUCCCCUCAGCAGCCACAGGCACCAGCAACUCCAGAGAGAUACCAGUGGAAGGAGGAACGAAGCGGUUUAGAACACCAUUCUCCAUUUCAUUCUGGUGGGACAAUAGCUUCUCUCAUCCCAGAAAAUUAACUGGAAGGAUGAUAACAUACCUAACACUGUGUAAAAGUGGCAUUUUCACCUCACACCUAUAAUCCCACCACUUUGGGAGGCCAAGGCAGGAAGAUCACUUGAGCCCAGGAGUUCAGGAUCACCGUCUUGAACAUAGUAAGAACCCCAUCUCUACCCCAAAUUAAAAAAAAAAAUUAGCUGGGUUUGGUGUGCACACCUGUAGUCCCAACCACUGGGGAGGCAGAGGUGGGAGGACCACUUGAGCCCAGGAGUUUGAGGCUGCAGUGAGCUAUGAUCUUGCUAUUGCACUCUAGCCAGGAGACAGAGUGUUUCCAAAAAAGAAAAAAAAA